rnacentral:rRNA from 1 species
UACGGAGGGGGCGAGCGUUAUUCGGAAUUAUUGGGCGUAAAGGGCGCGUAGGCGGCCUUGUAAGUCAAAGGUGAAAUCCCUCGGCUCAACUGAGGAACUGCCUUUGAAACUGCAAGGCUUGAGGCCGGGAGGGGGUAGCGGAAUUCCCAAUGUAGCGGUGAAAUGCGUAGAUAUUGGGAGGAACACCAGUGGCGAAGGCGGCUAUCUGGACGAGUACUGACACUGAGACGCGAAAGCAUGGGGAGCAAACAGG